AUGAUUUUUUGUUACAGGACCAACUACUUCAUCUGUGAACUCAACAGUACAAAAGGAUUCAUCAGUUGGGUCUGUGUUUGUGCUGGUCUGGUGUUUUCAGCUGAUGGUUCUUUUGGGUUUGUUAGGAGGGUUUCACAUCUACAUGAGACACACGUCAGGAAAAAGUCAGGAAGAUUAUGAGAAUGAGAAGAUUUAGAGAACGACAUGAACACACAGCAGAAGAAUCAUGGGACCAGCAGCAGAUCAUCACAUCUAUGAGAAAUGACUUCAUAAUGUCACAGAUUCUCUCAUGAAUCCAGCUUUCACCUGUCGACAGCACGAGAUCCUACAGAAUAAUCCAGGAGACGUUUUCUACAGGUUUAGGUCUUCUUUAAUUAGAUUUUUUUUAACAAAUUUUUAAAUUAGAUUUUUUUUGUUUGUUUUGGAAACAGUUUGGUUGCUCAUUAUUCAUUUGUCUUUAUGCUUUGAAUGAACUAGCAAUAUUUUAUACCAUUACUUGAAACCUCUUCUGUUCAUGCAUGAUAUUUAUCUCUCUAAAUCAGAUCUGGCAGAUUGUGAAGUCAUUCUGUGUG